ACGCGUUGGGAGCUCUCCCAUAUGGUCGACCUGCAGGCGGCCGCGAAUUCACUAGUGAUUAGAGUUUGAUCAUGGCUCAGAGCGAACGCUGGCGGCAGGCCUAACACAUGCAAGUCGAGCGCCCCGCAAGGGGAGCGGCAGACGGGAGAGUAACACGUGGGAACGUACCCUUUGGUUCGGAACAACCCAGGGAAACUUGGGCUAAUACCGAAUAAGCCCUUACGGGGAAAGAUUUAUCGCCGAAGGAUCGGCCCGCGUCUGAUUAGCUAGUUGGUGAGGUAACGGCUCACCAAGGCGACGAUCAGUAGCUGGUCUGAGAGGAUGAUCAGCCUCACUGGGACUGAGACACGGCCCAGACUCCUACGGGAGGCAGCAGUGGGGAAUAUUGGACAAUGGGCGCAAGCCUGAUCCAGCCAUGCCGCGUGGGUGAUGAAGGCCCUAGGGUUGUAAAGCCCUUUCGGCGGGGAAGAUAAUGACGGUACCCGCAGAAGAAGCCCCGGCUAACUUCGUGCCAGCAGCCGCGGUAAUACGAAUCGAAUUCCCGCGGCCGCCAUGGCGGCCGGGAGCAUGCGACGUCGGGCCCAA
rnacentral:rRNA from 1 species